AGAUACGCAGCUGCCGCUGAAUGGUGAUAUGUUAAUAAGCUGGAGGCAGCUCCCUGCUCAGCCCGCAGUGCAGAGUGACACAGACAGGCGACAUCGUCACUGAGCACUAACUUCUAUUUCACCCAGGCAGACAUUUCAGAACCGCGGCAAGGCAUAACAGAGGCAAAGGGGGUAGCUGCAAAGUUUGGGACAAGACCUCUGCAGGCAACUGGAAGCACAGUGUACCCAGGUGGUGGGUCUCGUCUGUGACAAUAUAUUUUUCUGUCUGUCCAAUUGAAUAUGGCUGUAAAGGGAAUAAAACUCCAUGUAAUCUCCAGCAGUGACAAUUUAAUCAGUUGUAAUAGGGAAAGAGUAGCAGAGUCCCCCCAUUUUCCUAUUUGCAUAUUUGAUUUUUGCAUUGGGGAAUGCAGGUUAUGUUUGUUGCUUCUCAUUCAGUUUUCUUAUUUAACCUUUUUAUGGGCAAAUUUUUUACAGUAAUAUGAGAUCUCAAGUCAAGUAAGUCUAAAAGAGAGAGGAAAGAUUCCCUUUUUGAAAUGAAGCAAUCGGUGCAGUGUGCUUUGUGUAAUGCUAUUCCCGGCAAAGGACGAAUGUGCCAAACAUGGUUUGCAUGCUCUCUGCUUCUGCACGUGAUGCAUCUGCUAUUAACAUUCACAGACCCACCCUGAAAAUGAAGGCAACUGUUUGGCAAACAAUGCAAAAUGAUGAGGAAUAUGCCAUAACAUGAUCGCUUUUUUGGUUAAUAUUUCUUGAAAUAGUAAAUCUUAUUAACUAUGUAUGUCUAAGGAAGAUGGGUUUCUAAGAAGCUUUAUAUACUUAGGUCAGUUUUAUGAGGUUGUGGAGGAGCAAUAAAUAUAGUGAAAUUAAUAAAAUUCAUUGCUCCUGUAAUUGACAGAGUGAUAUUAUUGCCCUAAAUGUAAUAAAAGAUUCUGGGAUAGAUUUUAAAAUAAAUAAGAUACAAGUAAUUUGAACCCAUCAUCAAUUAUCCUUGUGACCUCCCUUGAGUAUAUUAAAAAUCUGGCCAAAAUGGUGUUGGGUUUGAAUAACCGAAAUAUGGAUAGCUGCUUUUUUAUACAACAAUGCAUGUCAAGCCUCCACUUUUGAAAACACCAAAAGUGUGUUAGGUAAUUAAAAAAAAUAUAUAGUUCCCUACUUAAUUAAAAUUUAGAAUCUCUUUGUAAAAGGUGAAUGAACUCUGAACCAACAUUUCACUGAAAGGGAAAAAAAGGGAUGAACAUUUUAGUUCUAUGUAAUUUUACAAAGGAAGAAAAAAGAUUAAAUAAAAGUUUUGAACUUUUUAUGUAUCUUAUUUAAUCUAUGUGUAUGUAUACAUUUAUAUAUACACACACACUUCUGAGUAAUUACAUGUUUAUUUGUGUUUACCGAUAAAUAUAAAUAUUGCUAACCAAAUUUCAUGAGAAAUUACUAAAUUUGGUUAUCAAAAGAUAAGCCACAGCAUUGUAUCCAAAAAGAGAGCAAAUUGCCUUUUUAAUUUAUGUCCAUGAACCACACCAGUAGCAGUACGCAGGCAUUAGUAGAUGACAGGUAUCAAACCCUUUGGGAGUGAGCACAGAUUCACAUCAGAGUCAAGUACGUAAUAUGUCAAAUUUUGACUAUGUUCUUGUUUAUUUAAAUCUGCAUUCUGAUGAUCACCCUUUCAAAGAAGUUAUAUAUAUAUAUAUAUAUGAAUAUGUGAUCCAACGAUUACAUAUUCAAAUUAACCCAGUUUUUGUUUGAAUAUGGUCUAAUGAUUGAAUGAUCUCC